GACGUAGGGUCCAAGCGUUGUCCGGAUUUACUGGGCGUAAAGAGCGCGUAGGCGGCUCGUUAAGUGUAGAGUGAAAUCUCUGGGCUCACCCCAGAAACUGCUCUGCAUACUGGCGAGCUUGAGCGAUGAAGAGGUUUGUGGAAUUCCUGGUGUAACGGUGAAAUGUGUUGAUAUCAGGAGGAACACCCAUGGCGAAGGCAGCAAACUGGUCAUCAACUGACGCUGAGGCGCGAAAGCGUGGGUAGCAAACAGG
rnacentral:rRNA from 1 species